UACGUAGGGUGCAAGCGUUAAUCGGAAUUACUGGGCGUAAAGCGUGCGCAGGCGGUUUUGUAAGUCUGAUGUGAAAUCCCCGGGCUCAACCUGGGAAUUGCAUUGGAGACUGCAAGGCUGGAGUCUGGCAGAGGGGGGUAGAAUUCCACGUGUGAGCAGUGAAAUGCGUAGAGAUGUGGAGGAAUGACCGAUGGCGAAGGCAGCCCCC
rnacentral:rRNA from 1 species